UCACAAUACACUUUGUAAAGAUUUCUCUGAUGUCCUAAUGCAAGGGCUGCCCACUUUUUUAGACUGCUGGGCACAUUUGGAUUUUUGAGCCAGUGCCAUGGGCACACACACACCCUUCUUGAUGUCUCCUCCACCACCGAAUCACACGCUGCUUUCCCAAGGGAUCUGGAGAGCACUGAAAAGCACAUGGAAGUGAAAGAGGCAAGUGGGAAUGAGCAUCAUUCUUCCAAGUUCCUACUUCCAUUCUCUAAUGUUAAUUUUCAGGAAGAAGGUAACCACCCUCAAAAGGGGCAGUGGCUGGCAGGGAGAUACUGAUAACACCAAGGUUGCUGGUUUGAUCCCUGUAAGGGACAGCUAAAUAUUCCUGCACUGUGGAGGGCUGGACUAGAUGAGGCAUCCCCAAAUUGGCCCUCCAGAUGUUUUGGGACUACAACUCCCAUCAUCCCUGACCACUGGUCCUGUUAGCUAGGGAUGAUGGAGGGCUGAGUUUGCCUAUGCCUGCCUUAAAUCCUAAAGCCGUGUUUCCCAAACUUAGGUCUCCAGCUGUUUUUGGACUACAACUCCCAUCAUCCCUAGCUAACAGGACCAGUGGUUGGGGAUGAUCGGAAUUGUAGUCAGAAAACAUCUGGAGGGCCAAGUUUGGGGGUGCCUGGACUAGAUGGUCCUCAGGGUCCCUUGCAACUCUACAAUUCUGUGAUUCUAUGUACACCAGGGGCAGACCUCAAGGGCACCGUUGCACCCAUAAGGGCCACAUAGGUGACCCCUGUCCUAAUGGGUGGUUUGGUUGAUGCUACAAGAACAGGACCUGAGCCAGAGUGGGAGAAGGCAGUGCGGUGUAGUGGUUAGAGUGUUGGACUAGUACCUGGGGGACUAGUUUGAAUCCCUGCUCAGAUACGAAGCUUACAGGGUGACCUUGGGCCAAUCACAGUAUCUCAGCCUAACCUAGGGUUGUUGGGAUAAAAUGGGGAGGUGGAGAACUUUGUGAUCCCCCUCUGUUGGUGCCUUGGAAAGGAAUAUCGGAUUUAAAUGGGAAAAGUAAAUAAAUCCAGCAAACAUUCCCAGGAUCCUUUGGGUGGCCCAAACUCUUGUCAAACACAUCCUGCCAUGCCUUUCUCCUGACGUCUGCAUGAGCCAGGUCAGACCUUCUGCGGAAUGAUAUAUGAUAAUAUAUGGCCAAUUCUCCCCUGACAAUGGGAAGAUGGAUUUUCUGACCUUUGAGGUCUUUUCCUCCGUCUCUGGGCUUUGUAUGAUAAAUGGCUAGAAUGAAGCACUCGGCUUCUCCUAGGGUUAGAGGCAAAGAGGAAUGUGAUUGACUCUGUGUGCAGGUGGCAGAGGCCCAUUAUGGAAUAUUAAAGCUAUGCUAAAUAUUCUAGUCCCCAUCAACCUCUCUUCCUACCGCUCUCAAAAAUGCUCAGAGGGCUGAUCUUGAUGCCAAGGGUGUUAUGAUGAAAGAGAAAGCACUUUUGCUGAGCUAGCAAAUAAAAAAGGGGGGCUCUCCUCUGCUCUUCCUUUCCCCCCACAAUAUGUACAUGGUACCUCGGGUUACAGACACUUCAGGUUACAGACUCCGCUAACCCAGAAAUAGUACCUCGGGUUAAGAACUUUGCUUCAGGAUGAGAACAGAAAUCGUGCUCCAGCGGUGCGGCAGCAGCAGGAGGCCCCAUUAGCUAAAGUGGUGCUUCAGGUUAAGAACAGUUUCAGGUUAAGUAUGGACCUCCGGAACGAAUUAAGUACUUAACCCGAGGUACCAGUGUACUUGGGAGGGUCGAGGAAGGGCAGGAGACUUGAUGCUAUUUCAUUUUACUUUUAAUUAGUAUACCACCUUUCUAUAUUACUAUUCACAAGGUGGUUUACAGCAACAAAAUAUACAACAAAGAACACACACCUUAUAAUCUUUGACCCCUCGGAGAAGGAUCUGAAAUAUUCUCCUUGAAGUUUGAAUAUGUUUCAUUCUGGAUUGUUUCAUUUGAUGUUUUGAUGUGUUGUAAACCGCUUUGAGAUUCUUUCUUUAAAAUAUAAGGCGGUAUAGAAAUGAAAUGACUAAUAAUCUGAUCCACUACAGAAAGUCAUAAUAAAACAUAACUUUAAAAUGGAACGACUUAUAUCAAAUAAAGUACCGUAUUGGCCCAAAUAUAAGCUGCACCUUUUUUUUCCAAAUUCCGAUCGUGAAAAGUUAAAGUGCGGCUUAUAUUCGUGUCCUUACGCCGCCGGCAAAGCGAUGCAGCUUCCCCCCACAGAGAUCAGCCCAGGAGCGUGGGGCAACGGUGCCCAUCCCAUCCACGGCUCCCCCAAGCCGCCAAAUUUUAAAGGUGCAAUUUGUUUGCGGGUGCGGCUUAUAUUAGGGCCAAUACAGUAAUAUUCAAUAAUCUAUUUGAAUAUAAUAGUACACAAUAAAAUUAACUAUCAAUACCUCAGCAAAUAACAAUUAAAAUCACACUUACCUGCAAGGCUGCUGAUUGCACCUGUUCGAUUGCACCUGUGUGUAGAAGGAGGAAGGGGAGAAGCAGCUCUGAAUCUGCCCAUCAGAAAAGUACGAAGUUAUGAGGUUGACAGCUGUGUUCUAUCUCCACUGGCGAGGUAGGAUGCUGAGAAUCACAAGGGGUGCAGGAAGCGCUGCUAUUGCCCAUGUGUGUGUGUGUGUGUGUCAUUGGGGCAUCUACUUGGCCACUGUAAGAACAGAAGGCUGGACUUAUUACCAUAGCUGUCAACUUUUCUCUUUUCUUGCGAGGAAUCCUAUUUGGAAUAAGGGAAUUUCCCUUUAAAAAAAGGAAACGUUGACAGCUAUGCUUAUUACCUAAGUGUUAACUUCCACAUUCUAUUUAAGUUUUCACAUGCUGUAAAAGCCACUUCUAGAACCAUCGUGGGACAUUGCAGUAGUACUCAUUUCCAUAUUAUUUGCCAGUGGGUUUAUCCCGGAAGCAAAUAACACAGAAAUGAGCACCAUAUUCCACUAUAGUUCCUAAAGUAGCUUUUAUAUCGUGCAGAAGCUCUAAUUUUGUGCAGGACUUAACAGUUGGGGGAAAGUCUUGAAAACGGAAUAAGCUGCCAUGUGAACACAGACUAGAUGGGCUGUGGUCUGAUCCAGCAGGGCUUUUAUGUUAUUUUAUUUAUUGGUUUCAUUUCAUUUCUUACCUGCCCUUCAAGCGCAAGGUACCUGGGCAGGUUACAGCGAUGUUUAUACUCUCACAAGGAAUCACAGAAUGGUAGAAUUGGAAGGGACCCUGGGGUCAUCUAGUCCAACCCCCUACAAUGCAGGAAUCUUUCUGCCCAAUAUGGGGCUCAAACCCACCAACGUGAGAUUAAGAGUCUCGUGCUCUACCGACUGAGCUAUGAUUUGUCCUAGUGGAAUUCUCUGCUGCUUAGAGAGUUGAAAAGCAUAUACAUUGCGUUUUGGGUUUGGUUUGAAACUAGUUUGAAACUGGUCACCGGCAGAGGGAAUCUGUACAUCGACACAUUGAUCUUAAAGCCAGACCAUCCCUACUAUGGACUGGUGUUUAUCUUGCUGAGGUCAUUCCCUGUGAUUUGCUUUACACUUCCAAAUCCAGUUAGCAUCCUUUUUUCUUUCUUUUUAACUGAUUGAAUGAACUGCAAUUAUGUACCAUUCAGCUGUUCUGACUCAAAUCAGUGAGAAACGUUUCUCCAGAGUAUUAGGGGUCGUGAUAUUAAGGGGGGUAUGAAAUUGUUUCUCCUUACGAGAUUUCUACGGUACAAGCUUCAGUUGGAAGGCAGUGCUGGAUAGGAAUGGGGCAGGGUGGGGGAAGAAACCCUGAUUGCAGCAAGAUUUUUGCGGAUUGACCUUAUAGAAGGGUUGAUCAUAUUCUGUGAUCGUGGCAGAGGAGAGCUUCAUUGAAGAUCCCCAAAUAUAUUGAAAAGCUGUUCUAGCAUAGCACUGAAUUGUGUGGUGGAAUCCUGAACUGUAACACUUCAGAUUUCAGAUCAGGGUGGGUGAUGAUGAUGAUGAUGAUGAUGAUAAUGAUGAUUAGGCGAGUAUUACUAUCUGUGAGUUAAACCACAGAGCCUAGGGCUUGCCGAUCAGAAGGUCAGCGGUUCAAAUCCCCGCGACGGGAUGAGCUCCCGCUGCUCGAUCCCAGCUCUUGCCAACCUAGCAGUUUGAAAGCACAUCAAAGUGCAAGUAGAUAAAUAGCUACCACUCCGGCGGGAAGGUAAACACCGUUUCCGUGAGCUGCUCUGGUUCACCAUGCUGGCCACAUGACCCGGAAGCUGUACGCCGGCUCCCUUGGCCAGUAAAGUGAGAUGAGCGCCGCAACCCCAGAGUCAGCCACGACUGGACCUAAUGGUCAGGGGUCCCUUUACCUUUAUUACUACUACUACUACUACUAUUACUAUUACUACUACUAUUAUUUUGCCUCCAGAAACUGGUGUGUUGAGCCUAUGGAAGCCACUCUAAACCAUGGUUAGUGUAUACGUUAUGGCUGCUUCAAACCACAUUUUUGCAGGAUGUCUUGACUGAGCCAAUCUCUCACCCAAACCUACCCCACAGGACUGCCAUGAGAAUAAAACAAGCCUCAUCCAUGAUGAAAUGAGUUUGUUGGAAGACGUGG
rnacentral:lncRNA from 1 species